rnacentral:rRNA from 1 species
AGAAUCAACGCUGGCGGCGUGCCUAACACAUGCAAGUCGAACGAGAAAGUGGAGCAAUCCACGAGUAAAGUGGCGCACGGGUGAGUAACACGUGACUAACCUACCCUUGAGUGGGGAAUAACUGAGGGAAACCUUAGCUAAUACCGCAUAACACCUACGGGUCAAAGGAGCAAUUCGCUUAAGGAGGGGGUCGCGGCAGAUUAGUUAGUUGGCGGGGUAAUGGCCCACCAAGACAGUGAUCUGUAUCCGGCCUGAGAGGGCGCACGGACACACUGGAACUGAAACACGGUCCAGACUCCUACGGGAGGCAGCAGUGGGGAAUUUUGCGCAAUGGGGGAAACCCUGACGCAGCAACGCCGCGUGGAGGAUGAAGACCCUUGGGUCGUAAACUCCUUUCGAUCGGGACGAUUAUGACGGUACCGGAAGAAGAAGCCCCGGCUAACUUCGUGCCAGCAGCCGC